AUUGAACGCUGGCGGCAGGCCUAACACAUGCAAGUCGAACGAGUGGCGGACGGGUGAGUAAUGUCUGGGAAACUGCCCGAUGGAGGGGGAUAACUACUGGAAACGGUAGCUAAUACCGCAUACCAUCGGAUGUGCCCCGAUGGGAUUAGCUAGUAGGUGGGGUAACGGCUCACCUAGGCGACGAUCCCUAGCUGGUCUGCGAGGAUGACCUGCAACACGGGAACGGAGACACGGUCCAGACGCCCACGGGAGGCGGCAGUGGGGAAUAUUCCACAAUGGGCGCAAGCCUGAUGCAGCCAUGUCGCGUGUAUGAAGAAGGCCUUCGGGUGGUAAAGUACUUUCAGCGGGGAGGCGGUACUCGCAGAAGAAGCACCGGCUAACUCCGUGCCAGCAGCCGCGGUAAUAC
rnacentral:rRNA from 1 species